rnacentral:rRNA from 1 species
UACAGAGGGUGCGAGCGUUAAUCGGAAUUACUGGGCGUAAAACGCGCGUAGGCGGCUUUGCAAGUCGAGUGUGAAAUCCCCAGGCUUAACCUGGGAACUGCAUUCGAGACUGCAUAGCUAGAGUAUGGGAGAGGGAAGUGGAAUUUCAGGUGUAGCGGUGAAAUGCGUAGAUAUCUGAAGGAACAUCAGUGGCGAAAGCGACUUCCUGGACCAAUACUGACGCUCAUGUGCGAAAGCGUGGGGAGCAAACAGG